rnacentral:rRNA from 1 species
AGAGUUUGAUCAUGGCUCAGAUUGAACGCUGGCGGCAGGCCUAACACAUGCAAGUCGAGCGGUAGAGAGAAGCUUGCUUCUCUUGAGAGCGGCGGACGGGUGAGUAAUGCCUAGGAAUCUACCUGGUAGUGGGGGAUAACGUCCGGAAACGGACGCUAAUACCGCAUACGUCCUACGGGGGAAAGCAGGGGACCUUCGGGCCUUGCGCUAUCAGAUGAGCCUAGGUCGGAUUAGCUAGUUGGUGGGGUAAUGGCUCACCAAGGCGACGAUCCGUAACUGGUCUGAGAGGAUGAUCAGUCACACUGGAACUGAGACACGGUCCAGACUCCUACGGGAGGCAGCAGUGGGGAAUAUUGGACAAUGGGCGAAAGCCUGAUCCAGCCAUGCCGCGUGUGUGAAGAAGGUCUUCGGAUUGUAAAGCACUUUAAGUUGGGAGGAAGGGCAGUAAAUUAAUACUUUGCUGUUUUGACGUUACCGACAGAAUAAGCACCGGCUAACUCUGUGCCAGCAGCCGCGGUAAUACAGAGGGUGCAAGCGUUAAUCGGAAUUACUGGGCGUAAAGCGCGCGUAGGUGGUUCGUUAAGUUGGAUGUGAAAUCCCCGGGCUCAACCUGGGAACUGCAUUCAAAACUGACGAGCUAGAGUAUGGUAGAGGGUGGUGGAAUUUCCUGUGUAGCGGUGAAAUGCGUAGAUAUAGGAAGGAACACCAGUGGCGAAGGCGACCACCUGGACUGAUACUGACACUGAGGUGCGAAAGCGUGGGGAGCAAACAGGAUUAGAUACCCCGGUAGU